rnacentral:rRNA from 1 species
GACGGAGGGGGGCUAGCGUUGUUCGGAAUGACUGGGCGUAAAGGGCGCGUAGGCGGCUUUUUAAGUGAGGCGUGAAAGCCCUGGGCUUAACCCAGGAGGUGCGUUUCAUACUGAAAAAGCUUGAGUACGAGAGAGGAAAGUGGAAUUCCUAGUGUAGAGGUGAAAUUCGUAGAUAUUAGGAAGAACACCAGUGGCGAAGGCGCUUUCUGGCUCGUAACUGACGCUGAGGCGCGAAAGCGUGGGGAGCAAACAGG